UCACACACACACACGCGCACGCUCAAUCAUGGGGCAAAGGUCACACACACACACACACACCCUCAGUCAUGGGGUAAAGGUCACACACACCCUCAGUCAUGGGGUAAAGGUCACACACACCCUCAGUCAUGGGGUAAAGGUCACACACACCCUCAGUCAUGGGGCAAAGGUAACACACACACACACCCUCAGUCAUGGGGCAAAGGUAACACACACACACACACCCUCAGUCAUGGGGCAAAGGUAACACACACACACACCCUCAGUCAUGGGGCAAAGGUAACACACACACACACCCUCAGUCAUGGGACAAAGGUAACACACCCUCAGUCAUGGGGCAAAGGUAACACACACACACACACACACACACACACACACACACACCUAAAUCAAAUUUAUUUGUCACAUACACAUGGUUAGCAGAUGUUAAAUGCGAGUGUAGCGAAAUGCUUGUGCUUCUAGUUCCGACAAUGCAGUGAUAACCAACAAGUAAUCUAACUAACAAUUCCAAAACUACUGUCUUAUACACAGUGUAAGGGGAUAAGGAAUAUGUACAUAAGGAUAUAUGAAUGAGUGAUGGUACAGAGCAGCAUACAGUAGAUGGUAUCAGUACAGUAUAUACAUAUGAGAUGAGUGUGUAGACAAAGUAAACAAAGUGGCAUAGUUAAAGUGGCUAGUGAUACAUGUGUUACAUAAGGAUGCAGUCGAUGAUGUAGAGUACAGUAUACACAUAUGCAUAUGAGAUGAAUAAUGUAGGGUAAGUAACAUUAUAUAAGGUAGCAUUGUUUAAAGUGGCUAGUGAUAUAUUUACAUAAUUCCCAUCAAUUCCCAUUAUUAAAAUGGCUGGAGUUGGGUCAGUGUCAAUGACA